GCCUACGGGGCGCAGCAGUGGGGAAUAUUGCACAAUGGGGGAAACCCUGAUGCAGCAACGCCGCGUGAGUGAAGAAGUAUUUCGGUAUGUAAAGCUCUAUCAGCAGGGAAGAAGAUGACGGUACCUGACUAAGAAGCCCCGGCUAACUACGUGCCAGCAGCCGCGGUAAUACGUAGGGGGCAAGCGUUAUCCGGAUUUACUGGGUGUAAAGGGAGCGUAGGCGGCCAUGCAAGUCAGAAGUGAAAACCCGGGGCUCAACCCUGGGAGUGCUUUUGAAACUGUGCGGCUAGAGUGUCGGAGGGGUA
rnacentral:rRNA from 1 species